rnacentral:lncRNA from 1 species
UUAAUACGUAUGAACUCUGUUUGAAAGAUGGAAGUGCGGGGUUUGGAGGUAUCAUAAGGGAAGUAAUGGUAACUGGUUAAGAGAUUUUGCCAAAAAAAAUGGGGUUAUGUAGCGUGUUAUUGGCAGAGUUGGGUGGUGUAUGAAGGCUUAUUGGUUGUGUGAAGGCUUGGUGUGAGAGUAAUCGAGAUCAAUGUUGAUUUGGUUGACAUAGUAAAUGGUAUUAAGAAUAGCAAGCUUGGUAAUUCUAUCAUAAUAGCUUUAAUAAAUAAGAUUAAAGCCUUUUGAAAUUAGAUUUGGAGGUUGAUAUUCAUCGUACUUUUUUUGGGAAAAAAAU